CCUACGGGAGGCAGCAGUAGGGAAUAUUGCUCAAUGGGGGAAACCCUGAUGCAGCAACGCCGCGUGAGGGAUGACGGUUUUCGGAUUGUAAACUCCUUUUGUUAGAGACGAUAAUGACGGUAUCUAACGAAUAAGCCACGGCUAACUCCGUGCCAGCAGCCGCGGUAAUACGGAGGGUGCGAGCGUUACUCGGAAUUACUGGGCGUAAAGAGCGCGUAGGCGGGAUUGCAAGUCAGAUGUGAAAUCCUAUGGCUUAACCAUAGAGCUGCAUUUGAAACUGGUAUUCUAGAGUAUGGGAGAGGUAGGUGGAAUUCUUGGUGUAGGGGUAAAAUCCGUAGAGAUUAAGAGGAACACUCAUUGCGAAGGCGACCUGCUAGACCAUAACUGACGCUGAUGCGCGAAAGCGUGGGGAGCAAACAGGAUUAGAUACCCUAGUAGUC
rnacentral:rRNA from 1 species